UAAUCCGUACAAAGCGCAGAGCGGCGACGAUUAGCCUUUCGUGCAAGCACUUCUGUAAAGCAAAAUAUUUUACUUUUUUUGCCUCCUUUUGCUUAGCUUGACCUUUUUUUCAGGUCCCUAAAUACAUUUUUGUAUUUUUUAUAUAUAAAUAUAUUUUCAGAUUGUGAGUUUCUUUGGUGCUGUUCUUCUUGAUGGUAGAAUUAUGAGUGUUCUGUGUCUGGCAAAGGAUACGUUGAUUUACCGGUUAACCUAUCCUAGAAUAGUUUGAUUAUAGAAAGGAGCGCAAUGUAAACAUUCGUGAUCACAGUCCCGGUGCAAGAUGUAGAUAGCGCAUUUACUGUGCGUGAUAUAUAUAUUAUAUAUAAAUGUACCAUAGACACACACACAUUACAUCGAGGCACUUGGGUAGUUUAUGAUUAUGAAUCUAAUUGCUGGGUUUUUUGUUGUGAUAACGUAACACUGUGCUCUUGCAACGUUCGGUGAAUUGGGGGUCCAGCGUGUCUGAUCAUGUAGUACAAAUCUUAUGCUUUCAGUGCCAUCUGGAAAUUUACGAAUCUCCCAGCCCCCAUCUCCCCAUUUAUCAGAAUAGGGGAAACAUCACCCUCUCUGCCUCUUGGUUGCAAAUAUUUAAGCCUGUAUGGCUAACCUCUAUUUAAACACAUGGGGUAACUGCAAAAACAAUGGGAUUCACAUGAAUGGGAUAAUGUACUGUUCCUUUUAUCUCCUAGUCUGUUUAACCCCAAUGUUGGACAGAGGCAAGAGUCCCAUUUUGUAAUUCCAGUCUUCACAUUGGCAAAGCACCAGAGAAAUUGUAGCUCUAAAAAGGCUGAUGAUACAGUUUGCCCACCCCUGAUUUAGCAUUUUGCCUACCAUUUGUAGGGCAGUUCCUUCCCCUAAUGGUUUAGGAGACAACAGCCGGGAUGGGAAAAGUGUCUAGUUUAUUGAAUUACCCUGUUUGAAUUUGUUUAAACCUCUUUGAGUGUCUCUGCCGCCUUGUCGCCUCUGGUAGGCUGGGUGAGCGAGACAGGGCCUUUCAGAUGUAUAGAAGGAAUCUGUAAAAAUAUGUUGUGUAUUAAUAUUCAUGUUGCAGUUUUUCUUUGCGGAAUUAAACAGCCAUAAGUACACAUAGGAAGCUAUUAUUUAAACUUGUCAGAUAGCCGCUAUACUGUGGUGUGACUCAGUUAUUGAGCUUAGAGACUCAUCUUAUACUAUUAUAUUUUUUGUUUUGUUUUGAUUUUUAUUUUAGAAAAAUAUUCCUUUGUGAUUUAUAGAAGCCCCACGAGGGCCAUUUGACGGGCACUUUGUAUGUGAUGGACAAUUGCUACAUGUUGAAUUUAGAAUAGUGGGUUCUGAGGUUAAUGAAAAACUGAGCAUUCCUUACUAAGAGAGGACUACAGUAAUCACACUAGUUGAGUAAACACUCCUAAAUGACCACUCUCGGUAAUUCACACCAGUUAAGUGAUCACUCAUUUCUAAACGAACACACUGUCGUACUAGUGACGUUUUCUUUUUGGUUUUUUUUUGAGUUCUUAUAAAAUUGCCAAUCAUCUGUGCUCAUUGGCUAAUAAUAUUGUUUACAGUAAUAUGUUGGAUUUGAGAUUAAUUUGUCUUUGAAUUUUGAAAGAAAUGUUUUGCUAAAAUUACCCUCUAACCCCCUUUUUACUAAUGAAGAUACUUCUCUUGAAAAUUGUAAAUGAAGGAAAACUGUUUUCUGUAAUUUGAACUAAUUUAACAUCAAACAGUGACGGAUUUCAUGUGUGACGUUUACCUAUUGGCUUUCCAUUAAAGUACUGAUAUGAAACUAAAAAGCACAUGUUCCCUAUGAGCUAUGCUAACGGGAUUUCUUGCAAAAGUGUGAGUUGUCACAAAAUCAAAGAUGAUAAUAUAGCUGACCUGGAGAAUUUUUCCAACACACAUUUUUGCCUUUAAAUUUAAUUUACUAUUUCAAAAAUUGGGAGUGAGAUCAGGAAUAAAAUGUUAAACCGUGUUGUCCAGAUAGACGAAGAAUGACCCAGAUCAUGUUUUUAGAAGAUCCCAAUACAUCCUGAAAAACUCUGAGGAUGGUACGUUGAAUCUCUGCUAGGGAUUACCUCCGGUUUCCUGUUGGGGGGGAAAACAAAACUGAACAUUGUUGAAGUUCUUUCACAUGAAUGUGUAUCCCUCUAUCUAGAGCCUUGGCCCGAAGCUGCCCUAUAAAUAUUAUUCGAGAAGAUGCCAGUUUGGUGUUUUUAAAUGUUCACAUCCACCAAAACCACUAUGGAGUUUAUUCCCUAAACUCCACCAAAUUAAUAGUAAAUCAUUAGAGUGGAGAGCCUUUUUCUGCCAAAUGGAGCACUCGACUCAGGUAUCAUGGACUUUUAAUUAAUUUCUUUAUGGAACAGAGGGGGAGGGAACAUGUGGUGCAUCAGCAUAGCCGAAGACAUGAUCACCGUUUUUGAAUAAAUUAUCAGAUUUAAUUGUAAAAGUUAGGCAAAAAUAGCUCACUGGGGGGGAUAAUUAUAGAGUGGCUAUUUUAGCAUAAAUUUGCCAAUUUGGUUAGCAACUCAUAACCAUGUGGGGUUUAGUGAAAUGAAUCCUAUGGUUUCACCAUCCGGUUUACCAGUUGGUACCUGGUUGAACAUCUCAUUGCUCAGGUUUUCAGCAACCCUGAAUAUUGUAUGCCCUUAUCUUCGUAGCACAUCUGCACUUGUUAUAUUGGGGGAGGACCAUUGCACUAUGGCAGUGAUAGGUAACUUGGCACCUUAGAUAUUUGUAAACUGCAUUUACCGUGAUGCUUGGCCAGGCUCAAGUCUACAAAUGCCUUACGUGCCGGGGCACGCCGUCACUGCUCUCAGAGCCUACAACAUAUUGUAGAUUACACUGACCGACAUAAAAAUAUAUAUCUGGAACUCUUGAGUUUGAUCUAAGUAAAUGUUGUUAAAUAAUGUCUGUCUUCAGCUGCUCCCCUUGAUUCGCUUGUCAUCUAAUUUAUGUUCUGUUGUGCAUGUUGCAGUUUCACGCCGUCUCUCUUACAGGCCAACAUUAUGUACUAACAUUGGUCUUCUGAUUCACUGUGUUUAUGCUGCACAUGAUCAAAAAAAUAAUAAUUGUGGGUAAUCAAAAUCCGCUUGCUGUUUUAUUAAAUCAAAUUUCUCCA